GUUUUCUCGGCGGAUCCUGCUGCCCGCGACUCAAGGCGAUUGACUUCCAUCGGAAACCUCAGCUCCAAAUGCCUUGCUUUAGAAGCUAGAGAUUUUGGAGGUUCUGAGGACCGUGCCUGGGGGAGCAGGUGGCAGGCUGUAGGAUCCCGCGCCCCCUCCGAUUCCUGCACAGUGACCGAGGGAGAGUGUGCUAGAAAUGGCUUUGCUGCUGAAUGCAUUAUCUUGCCAUUUUCGUAUCCUGAUACCGCACAAACGAUCGCCUGAUCGAUCGGAAAUAGGAGGGAAAGGUAGAGUGGAAAUUGAUUUCUUGCAGACUGAGGCGCCGAAUGAUAGAGAGAAUAAACAUUUGCCCUGGAUAAAAAUGUUCUUGGCUGUAUUCCAGCCCUAAUGAUGUCCUAGAGCAGAAGUUUUUCUUCAGUCAUCUCAUUUUACCAAAAGGAUGGUUUCUGUGUAUAUCUCUGUGUUUUACGGAGGCUGACAAAUGUUGCUAGGGGGAUCUGAGGUCCAUCCAUCCAUAAGGAGGAUGAAUAUCCUGAAUUACAUUCAUUACAAAUACAACCUUAGCAGUUGUGAUAUGCAGAGGGCAUACUUUUCAUAUAAGAUCUCAAUAUGCUGCCUAAACCUACUUACAUAAUUUGCUAUUCAAAGAAAUACAAUUGUUUGCUCAGUGCCCAACUUUACUUGA